AAACAAAUCUCUAGCGGCCCAGAGGUGCUGGAGGAGAGUUUCAGAAACAGUCAGCAUGGAGACGACUGUGCAACAGCUUAUAGGAACUGCCUCACUCACGCUUUGAUGUUCAUCCUCUGCAGAGCUCUGCUCAUCUCUGUGGCUUCACAACAGCGCACAGGAAGCAAAGCCAGUUACAUCAGGAGGAGACCUUGGAGACCUGCUAUUGCAUCUCUUUCAUUGUACAGAGCUCAAGCAUCGAGCAACAAACAGUGGGAAGAGAUAGACGUGGCCCCCGUGUAUGGGAACAGCAUGUGACAGUGUGUCAGCACAGACAUAAUUUAAAGCAGUGCCAUGGCAACCAGCAUUCACUCUGGCCCCAGACAGCACUGUGUGCUCUGGAGUGUAAUUGAAAAUGGCUUCUCACGUGCUGAGAGGAGCGCGUGCUCAAGGUUCUGUUUCUCCUGCAGUGAGUGACUCUAAAAUACACCAAGUGCUGAGUUCAGAAACAGGACCCGUCCAGCUUCUUUACCAAGGGUUGGGGGGUUUCUCACAGAAGAAAUAAACUCAGCGGCCUUGGGAAUCCCCAGGAAUCACUGUGUCUGGCAGUAUGGUUUUGUUUCCUUUCAGAGACAAUUUCAAAGUGUGUUCCUGGAACAACAAUGUUCCAAAGACAUGCCCUAGAUGAUGAGGGACAGCUCUGGAGGCCAGACGUCUGAAAUCAGUUUCAUUGGAUUAAGGUCAGUUGGCAGGGCUGGUUUUUUUCUGGAGGCUUUAGGGGAGAAUCUGUUUCCUUAUCUUCCUUAGCUUCUGGAGGCCUUCUGCUUUCCUCAGCUCAUGGCCCCUUCCUUGAAUCACUCCACCUCUUGCUUUCUAUUUCUGUACUCAAAUCUCCCUCUGCGUUCCUCUUCUGUGGACCCUUGUGAUUACCUUUAGGACCCGUCCAGAUAAUUCAGGAUAACCUCUUCAUCUCAAGAUCCGUAACUUAAUCACACCUGCAAAGUCCUUUUCCUUAUGUAAGGUAAGAUUUACAAGU